UACACAUGCAAGUCGAGCGGUAACAGAGAGUGAGCUUGCUACUUUGCUGACGAGCGGCGGACGGGUGAGUAAUGCUUGGGAACAUGCCUUGAGGUGGGGGACAACAGUUGGAAACGACUGCUAAUACCGCAUAAUGUCUACGGACCAAAGGGGGCUUCGGCUCUCGCCUUUAGAUUGGCCCAAGUGGGAUUAGCUAGUUGGUGAGGUAAUGGCUCACCAAGGCGACGAUCCCUAGCUGGUUUGAGAGGAUGAUCAGCCACACUGGGACUGAGACACGGCCCAGACUCCUACGGGAGGCAGCAGUGGGGAAUAUUGCACAAUGGGCGCAAGCCUGAUGCAGCCAUGCCGCGUGUGUGAAGAAGGCCUUCGGGUUGUAAAGCACUUUCAGUCAGGAGGAAAGGUUAGUAGUUAAUACCUGCUAGCUGUGACGUUACUGACAGAAGAAGCACCGGCUAACUCCGUGCCAGCAGCCGCGGUAAUACGGAGGGUGCGAGCGUUAAUCGGAAUUACUGGGCGUAAAGCGUACGCAGGCGGUUUGUUAAGCGAGAUGUGAAAGCCCUGGGCUCAACCUGGGAACUGCAUUUCGAACUGGCAAACUAGAGUGUGAUAGAGGGUGGUAGAAUUUCAGGUGUAGCGGUGAAAUGCGUAGAGAUCUGAAGGAAUACCGAUGGCGAAGGCAGCCACCUGGGUCAACACUGACGCUCAUGUACGAAAGCGUGGGGAGCAAACGGGAUUAGAUACCCCGGUAGUCCACGCCGUAAACGAUGUCUACUAGAAGCUCGGGUCCUCGGACUUGUUUUUCAAAGCUAACGCAUUAAGUAGACCGCCUGGGGAGUACGGCCGCAGG
rnacentral:rRNA from 1 species